rnacentral:rRNA from 1 species
AGAGUUUGAUUAUGGCUCAGGAUGAACGCUGGCGGCAUGCCUAACACAUGCAAGUCGAACGGAGUUGGAGGUAGCUUGCUACUGACAACUUAGUGGCGGACGGGUGAGUAACGCGUGAGUAACCUGCCUCUAAGAGGGGGGAUAACGUUCUGAAAAGAACGCUAAUACCGCAUAUAAUUACGAAAUCGCAUGAUUUUGUAAUGAAAGGAGCAAUCCGCUUAGAGAUGGACUCGCGUCUGAUUAGCUGGAUGGUGGGGUAACGGCUCACUAUGGCGACGAUCAGUAGCCGGACUGAGAGGUUGAACGGCCACAUUGGGACUGAGACACGGCCCAGACUCCUACGGGAGGCAGCAGUGGGGGAUAUUGCGCAAUGGGGGAAACCCUGACGCCAGCAAUGCCGCGUGAAGGAUGAAGGUUUUCGGAUUGUAAACUUCUUUUGUUAAGGACGAUAAUGACGGUACUUAACGAAUAAGCUCCGGCUAACUAUGUGCCAGCAGCAGC